rnacentral:rRNA from 1 species
GAUGAACGCUGGCGGCGUGCCUAAUACAUGCAAGUAGAACGCUGAAGGAGGAGCUUGCCCUUCUGGAUGAGUUGCGAACGGGUGAGUAACGCGUAUGUAACCUGCCUGGUAGCGGGGGAGAACUAUUGGAAACGAUAGCUAAUACCGCAUGACAACAGUUAUUGCAUGAUAACUGUUUAAAAGGGGCAACUGUUCCACUACCAGAUGGACCUGCGUUGUAUUAGCUAGUUGGUGAGGUAACGGCGCACCAAAGCGACGAUACAUAGCCGACCUGGGGGGGGUGUCGGCCACCCUGGGAAUGGGGCCCCGCCCCGGCUCCUACGGGGGGCAACCGUAAGGGAUUCUCGGGCAUUGACGGAAGUCUUACCGAGCCACGCCGCCUGGGGUGAGAAGGUUUUCGGGUCGUAAAGCUCUGUUUUUAGGGAAGAACGAGUUUUGGAGUGGAAAAUUCACGCUGUGACGGUAUCUUACCAGAAAGGGACGGCUAACUACGUG